UUGGGUGACGAGUGGCGGACGGGUGAGUAAUGUCUGGGGAUCUGCCCGAUAGAGGGGGAUAACCACUGGAAACGGUGGCUAAUACCGCAUAACGUCGCAAGACCAAAGAGGGGGACCUUCGGGCCUCUCACUAUCGGAUGAACCCAGAUGGGAUUAGCUAGUAGGCGGGGUAAUGGCCCACCUAGGCGACGAUCCCUAGCUGGUCUGAGAGGAUGACCAGCCACACUGGAACUGAGACACGGUCCAGACUCCUACGGGAGGCAGCAGUGGGGAAUAUUGCACAAUGGGCGCAAGCCUGAUGCAGCCAUGCCGCGUGUAUGAAGAAGGCCUUCGGGUUGUAAAGUACUUUCAGCGGGGAGGAAGGCGACGGGG
rnacentral:rRNA from 2 species